CGGUGUUUAACUGGCGUGAUGUGGGACGUCCUACCGGUGGGCUUAGCCUCGCGAGGGGCGGCCCAACUAAUAUCCCGUCGCGGUGCUCUUUACUGAGUGUCGAGUCGGGCCGGUACGUUUACUUUGAACAAAUUAGAGUGCUUAAAGCAGGCUAUCCUCGCCUGAAUACUGCGUGCAUGGAAUAAUGGAAUAGGACCUCGGUUCUAUUUUGUUGGUUUUCGGAACCCCGAGGUAAUGAUUAAUAGGGACAGAUGGGGGCAUUCGUAUUGCGACGUUAGAGGUGAAAUUCUUGGAUCGUCGCAAGACGGACAGAAGCGAAAGCAUUUGCCAAAAAUGUUUUCAUUAAUCAAGAACGAAAGUUAGAGGUUCGAAGGCGAUCAGAUACCGCCCUAGUUCUAACCAUAAACGAUGCCAGCUAGCGAUCCGCCGAAGUUCCUCCGAUGACUCGGCGGGCAGCUUCCGGGAAACCAAAGCUUUUGGGUUCCGGGGGAAGUAUGGUUGCAAAGCUGAAACUUAAAGGAAUUGACGGAAGGGCACCACCAGGAGUGGAGCCUGCGGCUUAAUUUGACUCAACACGGGAAACCUCACCAGGCCCAGACACCGGAAGGAUUGACAGAUUGAUAGCUCUUUCUUGAUUCGGUGGGGUGGUGGUGCAUGGCCGUUCUUAGUUGGUGGAGCGAUUUGUCUGGUUAAUUCUGAUAACGAACGAGACUCUAGCCUGCUAAAUAGGCGUACCUUAUGGUAUCGCGAAGGCCCCCGGCUUCGGCCGGUGGGUUUUUACUACCAACGUACAAACAAAUCUUCUUAGAGGGACAGGCGG
rnacentral:rRNA from 1 species